rnacentral:rRNA from 1 species
CAAGCGGUGGAGCAUGUGGUUUAAUUCGAUGCAACGCGAAGAACCUUACCUGGUCUUGACAUCCACAGAAUCUUGCAGAGAUGCGAGAGUGCCUUCGGGAACUGUGAGACAGGUGCUGCAUGGCUGUCGUCAGCUCGUGUUGUGAAAUGUUGGGUUAAGUCCCGCAACGAGCGCAACCCUUAUCCUUUGUUGCCAUCGGUUAGGCCGGGAACUCAAAGGAGACUGCCGUUGAUAAAGCGGAGGAAGGUGGGGACGACGUCAAGUCAUCAUGGCCCUUACGACCAGGGCUACACACGUGCUACAAUGGCGUAUACAAAGGGAGGCGACCUCGCGAGAGCAAGCGGACCUCAUAAAGUACGUCUAAGUCCGGAUUGGAGUCUGCAACUCGACUCCAUGAAGUCGGAAUCGCUAGUAAUCGUGAAUCAGAAUGUCACGGUGAAUACGUUCCCGGGCCUUGUACACACC